GUGGGGAAUCUUCCGCAAUGGACGAAAGUCUGACGGAGCAACGCCGCGUGAGUGAUGAAGGUCUUCGGAUUGUAAAGCUCUGUUAAUCGGGACGAAAGAGCCUAGUGUGAAUAAUGCUAGGAAGUGACGGUACCGGAAUAGAAAGCCACGGCUAACUACGUGCCAGCAGCCGCGGUAAUACGUAGGUGGCAAGCGUUGUCCGGAAUUAUUGUGCGUAAAGCGCGCGCAGGCGGAUCUGCCAGUCUGUCUUAAAAGUUCGGGGCUUAACCCCGUGAUGGGAUGGAAACUACAGAUCUAGAGUAUCGGAGAGGAAAGUGGAAUUCCUAGGGGAGCGGUGAAAUGCGUAGAUAUUAGGAAGAACACCAGUGGCGAAGGCGACUUUCUGGACGAUGUCUGACGCUGAGGCGCGAAAGCUAGGGGAGCGAACGGGAUUAGAAACCCCGGUAGUCC
rnacentral:rRNA from 1 species